AGCCCCCUCCUUCCGUCUUCAUCUUUCUUUUUUCCCUUGUCUGUCUGCUCGCCUCCUCAUCUCCUUGUCACACCCAUCUCAUCACCAGCGACGGUCGCGCCUGGACGCAUCAGCUAGCCGAGGAAAAGCGGGGUGGUGCGACGGUAGGGAGCCCAUGUAGCGGCGGUGGUGGAGACAACCCUAGAUGGUGCCCCGCGAGCCACCCGACCUCCUUGCCUUGCCAUGGAUCUGCUCCUCCCAUUUCCUUUCCGUCGAUUUGCUUUUUUUCGCAGUGCCACCGUGGAUUGGGUCAAUUUGGUUUUCACGUAUGGAUCUGGUUUGCCCCCAUUUCCUUUGCACUAAUUUGGGUUUCUCCUUGCUUUCAUUUUUGCCUCUCUUUUCUUCUGCAGCUCCACUAGUUCUUUGUUGCUGCCGCUCUUUUGGUUGACUGCCAUGGAACCGUUUGGCUGAGAUCUCUGCUUUCUUCGUCGUCGUCCAUCGGUCCAAGUUGUUCUUUUCUGCUCUGUUGCCUUUCGGUUGCUUCUGAAGCAUGCUGCGGAUUCGUUGUGCCUCCUUCCAAUCUGGUGUUCUGUGCUCCAUUUGGUUCAUCUAACUCUUCAUGAACCGUCUCUAUACUCAUGCAUGUACCUCGAUGUUAAUUUUUUUAACAAGUUGUUGAAGAAGGCAGAUGGUUCUAGGCUUCUCGUUGCAUCCUACACUCCCUGUCCGGGGAAUCAAUAGAAAGGGUUCGCCCACCUUUUGAGAUCGCUCUAGAGAAACUGAAAGGAUCCGUAGAAUCAGAAGCAUCAAAGAAGUCCAGUUGGGGCGGGGGAUAAAGCGUCGGGAGAUUUGAAAAGAAGGAGAAGCAAGGAAACAUGAAUCAAUAGAUCAGUUGGUGUUACAAGAGGUAAUCUAAGAAGUUGAUCUACGAACAGAGGAAGGCUAGUCUUGUUGAAAGGCCCAACGCACCCAACAACUCUGCUGGUGCUGGCAUCUAUGAAAAGGGAUGCUGAAUAACCUUGUUGUCUUCUAUCCUUCCCAUGGGAGGGCUACUGAUUGAUAUAGAUUGUUGUGUUUAUUUGUAGAAUAAAAACUGAAACUCCUGAUGUUGGAUUUGUAUUUGUCAUAGGGUUUUCUAUCUUGGUCCGCCUUUUUCAUUCCAUA